UUACUCAGAAUUUGAUUUGUCUAUCAAAAGCAGGGAGAAGAAAAUCUCAUCCGAUUGUAGACUGUCUUUCAGUGUUUUGAGAACGUAGAAGGGAGAGCAUAGAGCAGUUUAUGCCAGCGUGCACAGCAGUGCUGGGAGGUUACCAAGCAACAAGACGGAGAUGUGUCACAGGGGCAAGGGAGAUGGGAAAGAUGAACAAAAGUGUGGACAAAGGAUUCGAGAAGAUGAAGAGAGGCGUCACAAUUGCCUGACCUCUUCCUUAUGUCUUAUAUUGAGUUGCAACGCUGUCCGUAAAUACAGGUCAUUACAACAGAGUGAUGUUUUCAGAGACUGGGGUUCAGAGAAGAAUAGAGAUUGCUUUCUCUUCACAAAGAUAAAGCUGAAAAAGGACAAUGACCAUUUGAAGGGCUGCACAAGGAUUUCCAAAGACACUUUUCCAGUCUGA
rnacentral:lncRNA from 1 species